AUGGUCAUAUCAUCAGCGUGAUACAAGAAGAUGUUAUACCGUAUAACAUCUUCUUGGAUACAGUGAUAUGGACCAUGCUGGUAUAACCUGGGCAUCUCUAGUAUAUAAUUAUAUAUGUACAGCUGGGGCUGGGGAUCAUACAAAU